AUGGCUCAGAUUGAACGCUGGCGGCAAGCCUAACACAUGCAAGUCGAGNGGCAUCGAAAGAAAGCUUNCUUUCUUGUNGGCGAGCGGCAAACGGGUGAGUAAUAUCUGGGAAUCUNCCCAAAAGAGGGGGAUANNUNCUAGAAAUGGUAGCUAAUACCGCAUAAAGUUGAAAAANCAAAGNGGGGGACCUUUAUAANCCUCAUGCUUUUGGAUGAGCCCAGNCGAGAUUAGCUUGUUGGUAAGGUAAAGGCUUACCAAGGCUACGAUCUCUAGCUGGUCUGAGAGGAUAACCAGCCACACUGGAANUGAGACACGGUCCAGACUCCUACGGGAGGCAGCAGUGGGGAAUAUUGCACAAUGGGCGAAAGCCUGAUG
rnacentral:rRNA from 1 species